rnacentral:lncRNA from 1 species
GGGAAAGGGGAUGUGAUUAAAAAAAUUGGGUUCAAUUUUUCUCAUUUGAAAUUUCAUAAAUAAAAAAGAAAAUUUCUUCAAACAGUUCAUUAGACCACAUUCAUUCUGUGUCAGAAACCUAUGCUGUGUCAACUAUUUAAUCACAAUCCAAAAUUUAGAGCUGAAUCCAGCUUGAAUGUUGUGUCCAUACUUGCCCCAACCGUUCAGGGUUCAACCUCUGCGGUCGUAUAAUGCUGCGCCCUGCGAAGCAACUGGU